GACGAACGCUGGCGGCGUGCUUAAUACAUGCAAGUCGAGCGGAAAGGCGCGGCGCUUGUUCCUUUCUCGAUUGCGGAGCAGGGGAGUGUCACACGUGUAACCUCUCCUUGUAUGUCGGGGAUCAUCUCGGGACAGCGGCGCUUAUCCCGGAUAACCUCCUGAACCGUGUGGUUGGAUGGUGAAAUUCGGCGGUGGGGGCUGGUCUAGCUGGUUAUCAGCUGCAUUGGCGGGUAGUGGAUUACCAGGGCUUUGAAGGGUAGCCGGCAUGAGAGGGUUAACGGCCACCUUGGGACUGCGAUACGGCCCAGAAUCCUACGGGAGGCAGCAGUGGGGAAUAUUGCACAAUGGGGGGACGCCUGAUGCAGCAACCCCGCGUGCGGGAUGACGGCCUUCGGGUUGUAAACAGCUUUCGCCUGUGACGAAGAGUGAGUGACGGUAAUGGGUCAAGAAGCAACGGCUAACUACGUG
rnacentral:rRNA from 1 species